UUUUUUUAACAGGGGACGUUUGUCAAGGAUAAUCUUUAAUUGCAAAUAAAAUGAUAUGAAAAAAAGAACCAUCUGAAGGCCAGUCCUGUGGAGGUCAACCUGCCUGCACCUGCUGUCACAGGGGAAGGGUGGAGAGAUGGCAAUCUAGUCUCCUCAGUGGCAGUCCCCAGCCCCCACCCCCACACUUCCUCAGCCUCCCACAGGUUCCCAGGCCAUCACAACCCAGCCAGCAGCUACAACCUUAGCAGCAGAGGCCCCGGAGCAUGGGAGACAAGUCCCUGGGCAGGAGGGUGUGUUCAGAGAAGGGAGGGCAGAGCUGCAGAACUCCCCAGACUCCGCUGAUGAAGCACGGAGGGAAGAUUGUGGUCUAUGAGGCGAUUUGGCAGAGGGCAGGAGAGGGUACUUACCAGAAAAUCGCAACGAUGUCCUUGACAGGCUGAGGCCACCGUUUGUCCUGGUGAUGGGCAGAGGAAUCUGAAACCUUUAUCCAGCGGAGACUAGCUAGGUAGGCUGUGUGUCCGUGGCAGCUGUGGAGGACCAGAGGUCAGGAAGUGCUAAGUCGUGGGAAUUGUGCAGGGUCUGUGAUGGGAUUGUGAGGGUGUGCUAGUGUGCUUCCCGGAGGGCGGCUCUCACCAGCUCCGUGUCCUCUGCCCCUUCUGCCACAAGGGUGAGCACAGCCCAGUGGGGUCCCAUCUUACCUGUAAAUGCUCCUUCUAAAUACCUUCUCUUGAUCUGCAAGAGAACAGUUCUCCCUGCUGGGACCCUGAGUGAGAGACAGAGCUGUGUGUGUGUGUGUGUGUGUGUGUGUGUGUGUGUGUGUGUGUGUGUGUGUAUUC
rnacentral:lncRNA from 1 species